rnacentral:tRNA from 1 species
CAACCAGGAGGUCACCGGUUCGAGCCCGGUAUUCUCCACCAGCCUUCGCUCUGAUGGCGUUCGCGUAAUUACGCGG